rnacentral:rRNA from 1 species
UAGGGAAUAUUGGACAAUGGGGGCAACCCUGAUCCAGCCAUGCCGCGUGAGUGAAGAAGGCCCUCGGGUUGUAAAGCUCUUUUGUCCGGAAAGAAAAGCUUCGGGUUAAUACCCCGGGGUUCUGACGGUACCGGAAGAAUAAGCACCGGCUAACUUCGUGCCAGCAGCCGCGGUAAUACGAAGGGUGCAAGCGUUACUCGGAAUUACUGGGCGUAAAGCGUGCGUAGGUGGUUGUUUAAGUCUGAUGUGAAAGCCCUGGGCUCAACCUGGGAAUGGCAUUGGNAACUGGGCAGCUUGAGUGCGGUAGAGGGUAGUGGAAUUCCCGGUGUAGCAGUGAAAUGCGUAGAGAUCGGGAGGAACAUCUGUGGCGAAGGCGACUGCCUGGACCAGCACUGACACUGAGGCACGAAAGCGUGGGGAGCAAACA